CCUACGGGAGGCAGCAGUGAGGAAUAUUGGUCAAUGGGCGAGAGCCUGAACCAGCCAAGUCGCGUGAGGGAGUACUGCCCUAUGGGUUGUAAACCUCUUUUGCCGGGGAGCAAAAGCCGGACGUGUCCGGCUGUGAGAGUACCCGAAGAAAAAGCAUCGGUUAACUCCGUGCCAGCAGCCGCGGUAAUAUGGAGGAUGCGAGCGUUAUCCGGAUUUAUUGGGGUAAAAGGGUGCGCAGGCGGAUUUUUAAGCCAGCGGUCAAAUCGUGGGGCGUAACCCCAUCCAGCCGUUGAAACUGGGGAUCUAGAGUGUGCGAGAGGUAUGCGGAAUGCGUGGUGUAGCGGUGAAAUGCAUAGAUAUCACGCAGAACCCCGAUUGCGAAGGCAGCAUACCGGUGCACAACUGACGCUCAGGCACGAAAGCGUGGGUAUCGAACAGGAUUAGAUACCCGGGUAGUC
rnacentral:rRNA from 1 species